AGUCUUGGGCUAUUCGGCCACGUGCCUGCCGGACAUGGGACGCUGGAGGGUCAGCAGCGUGGAGUCCUGGCCUUUUGCGUCCACGGGUGGGAAAUUGGCCAUUGCCACGGCGGGAACUGGGACUCAGGCUGCCCCCCGGCCGUUUCUCAUCCGUCCACCGGACUCGUGGGCGCUCGCACUGGCGCUGAUGUAGUUUCCUGACCUCUGACCCGUAUUGUCUCCAGAUUAAAGGUACGACAUUUGGAGGCCCCAGCGAGAAACGUCACCGGGAGAAACGUCACCGGGCGAGAGCCGGGCCCGCUGUGUGCUCCCCCGGAAGGACAGCCAGCUUGUAGGGGGGAGUGCCACCUGAAAAAAAAAUUUCCAGGUCCCCAAAGGGUGACCGUCUUCCGGAGGACAGCGGAUCGACUACCAUGUGGGUGCCCACAAAAAUUCCACCUCUGAGUCCUCAACUGCUGACCCCGGGGUCAGACACGGGGUUUCACCAUGUUGGCCAGGCCGGUCUUGAACUUGUGACGUCAGGUGAUGCACCCGCCUUGGCCUCCCAAAGUGCUGGGAUUACAGGUCCAGAUUUUGAACAAAUCUCGCUAGAGAUUGAACAGAGCUGCGCCUGGAUCCCGCCACAGUGAGGAGACCUGAAGACCAGAGAAAACACAGCAAGCCCCUGGAUCCUCCUGGAAUCCCCGAUCCCUCUUGCUCCCUGGCAGAGUUUUCUAGUCCCUCUUACUUGAAGCAUGUCUUUCAGAGCCCGGCACCACCCAUCUUGAGUAUCUGGUGAGUUCUGUGGUCUGCAUGUCCAUGUUUGGGACAUUCUGGGAAGGGUGGCCCAGGCUGUGAUUUGCCAUCUACUGCAGGCUAUGGAUGGUAUUCAGAAGGGAGGGGAGAUGCUGUGUGCGUGUUCUGAAGGGUUUCCCACUAAACAGAUCAACCCUCUCCAUAACUAUUUGAUUUUUACUUUAUCUCCUCGUUGACUUCACAGUGUCAGUGCAGUUUGUGUAAACAUCUCUAUGGGGUGAUGCAUGCAGAUAAAUGUUUAUGUGAACAUAUAAAGUCUGCAUGUGUGGGUGAACACUCCACAUCAGGUCAUUGUCCAUCAUUACAUAUCUGUGGUGUCUGGCUCAUUCGUCUCGUUUUCUGUCAUUUUACCUACUUUUACCUGAAGUACAAUGACUAUUUAAUAACUAUUAAAUGUUUCAUUUCAGCUACA
rnacentral:lncRNA from 1 species